UUGCUCUUCAACGAGGAAUGCCUAGUAAGCGCAUGUCAUCAGCAUGCGUUGAUUACGUCCCUGCCCUUUGUACACACCGCCCGUCGCUACUACCGAUUGAAUGGCUCAGUGAGGCCUUCGGACUGGCUCGGAGAGGUUGGCAACGACCACUCCGAGCCGGAAAGUUCGUCAAACUCGGUCAUUUAGAGGAAGUAAAAGUCGUAACAAGGUUUCCGUAGGUGAACCUGCGGAAGGAUCAUUACCUAGAGUCAGUGGGCUUUGCCUGCUAUCUCUUACCCAUGUUUUAUGAGCACUUACGUUUCCUCGGUGGGUUCGCCCACCGAUUGGACCACUUAAACCCUUUGCAGUUUUGUAAUCAGCGUCUGAAAAACUUAAUAGUUACAACUUUCAACAACGGAUCUCUUGGUUCUGGCAUCGAUGAAGAACGCAGCGAAAUGCGAUAAGUAGUGUGAAUUGCAGAAUUCAGUGAAUCAUCGAAUCUUUGAACGCACAUUGCGCCCCUUGGUAUUCCAUGGGGCAUGCCUGUUCGAGCGUCAUUUGUACCUUCAAGCUCUGCUUGGUGUUGGGUGUUUGUCUCGCCUCUGCGUGUAGACUCGCCUUAAAACAAUUGGCAGCCGGCGUAUUGAUUUCGGAGCGCAGUACAUCUCGCGCUUUGCACUCAUAACGACGACGUCCAAAAGUACAUUUUUACACUCUUGACCUCGGAUCAGGUAGGGAUACCCGCUGAACUUAAGCAUAUCAAUAAGCGGAGGA
rnacentral:rRNA from 1 species